CUGUAUUUCAAGAACUUCUUAUCUAAUCCUUCAUAUGUGUACAGUUUCACAAAUUUUGUAUUAUUGAGAAAACAAAUCGAUUGUUUCAAAUUUAGAGCAAAGUAUAAGUGUUAUAUAACAAAACUUGACAAUAAAAAAAGCCCUAAGAUAUGAAUUAUGUAUGCACUUUUAUUAUAUCAUCUGUUAUAUUUUCAGGUAAUUUGAAAGAAAAUGCAAAAACAGAAGUAAAAAGAAACACUAAAGAAGCAAGGAAAACCCCAAAACAUGAUAUUCGUUUGAGAAUUCAGAUAGUUCCAUCCCAAACUAUCCAAAGUGGUCCUAAAUACCAGCAUAAGGGAGAAAUAAGUGGCCCUGAGACCUAUGAAAAGAGACAAAAACAGAAAACUGGAGUGAAAAUUGAAAAGCUUCCUGAGAAAACUCAGAGUAAAGAAGAGAGAAGAGAAAUAGAAGACAAAAGAAAAGAUACCGAGGACAUGGAUAAAGGAAAGGAAAUAGAUAAGGGCCAAUCAAAGAAAGGAAGUGACGUAAAAGAUAAAGGUGAAGAAGAAGAAAAGGUGAACAUGAAAAAGAAGGGAGAUGAGGACAUGGAGGACAAAGACACAAAAGCAGAUAAAGACAAGAAGGAAGGCAAAGGCUUAAAGAAGAAUAAAUACAAGGGGGAGGAAAUGAACAAAAAGAAGGAUAAGGUCAAGAAAGGACAUGAGGAUAAGAUAGAAGGCAUGGACACAAAGGGAGAUAAGGACAGGACAGAGGACAUGGACAAGAAGAGAGAUAAAUAUAUAAAGGAGGAUGAAAACAAGGACAUAAAGGGAUAUGAGGACAGGACAGAGGACAUGGACAAGAAGGGAGAUGAGUAUAUAAAAGAGGAGGAGGACAAGGACUAUAAGAGAGAUGCGGACAGGACAGAGGACAUGGACAAGGAGGGAGAUGAGUAUAUAAAGGAGGAGGAGGACAAGAACUAUACGGGAUAUGAGGACAGAACAGAAGACAUAGAUACAAAGGGAGAUGAGUAUAUAAAGGAGGAUGAAGACAAGGACAAUAAGGAAGAUGAGGACAGGACAGAGGACAUGGACAAGGAAGGAGAUGAGUAUAUAAAGGAGGAGGAGGACAAGAACUAUACGGGAUAUGAGGACAGAACAGAAGACAUAGAUACAAAGGGAGAUGAGUAUAUAAAGAAGGAGGAGGACAAGGACUAUAAGGGAUAUGAGGAUGGGACAGAGGACAUGGACAAGAAGGGACAUGAGUAUAUAAAGGAGGAGGAGGAGGAGGACAGGACAGAGGACAUGGACAAGAAUGGAGAGGACUAUAUAAAGAAGGAUGAGGACAAGGACUAUAAGGGAGAGGAGAACGGGACAAAGGACCUGGGCAAGAAUGAAGGUGAAGGCAAGAGAAAGGACAAGAAUAUGAAAGGAAAUUCUAUGAAAAAAAAGUAUAAAAACAAGGUGGCUAAAGAGAACAAGAAUAUAGACCCAAAAGUAGGCGAAGGAAAGAAAAUGAGCAGUAAAAGAAAGAUCUCAUGGAAGAAAAAAUAACACUAGAUUUCAUAAACUAACAAAACAGAAUUGAAUAAUUUUGCUCUAGCACAUAGACUUCAAAACUAGCUCUCCAUCUUCUGUGAUUGAGAUUAAGAUAAUAUACUCCAUUCUUUUUAGUCACAAAUUUUCUGCUUCUUUGUUUAUAAUCUGGCAAAAGCUUCAUAAAAUGCUUCUUUGUAGAUCCCUCAGUCUCAAACUUCAGCUUCUAAAUAUGAGUUUUUCAGAAUACACACUCACGAGGUAUCAGUCAGGAAAACACAAAUAAAAAUUAAACUCUGAUUAAAGAAAUGUAGAACUGUAUUUUCUCAAAAAAUAUGGUGUUUUCCUAUCUAACCAAAUAGCUAUAUACUUAGUCUCUACUAGGUGCAACAUCUGUAAAGGUAUGCAAAAUAUCUUUAUCAAUAAUAUAAACAGAAAUGAAAACAGUAAAACCAUGUUAAAAAUAUAAAUAUCAAAAAAUUCAGAGCAAAAAUACAACAGGAAAAAAUAAGAAAAGGAAAAUCUCUUUGUUUAGGGAUAAUACAUUAAAGACUUUCACAGGCAGUAGAACUUGAACUGGGCAUCAAAAGACGAUGGGAAGGAUUUGUAUAUUGUUUGGGGCCCCUGGAUUAGUAAUCCCUCUAUACCAGAGGAUAAACCCCUUGAAGGAAGAUCUGUGUCUUACCAUGAUCUCCAUCCUCGGUGCCUACCACAAGGUUUAUUAAAUUUAAUUGACUGGGAAAGGAAGUGAGAAGAAAAAAAGUUUAGAACAUGGAAAGACUAUUGUAAAGGCAGAGAGGAGAGCAGAGAAUUUGAGUACAGCAAAGCUCCUCAAGGAUAAGGACACAAAAGGGAAUGAGGACCCCACUGAUGUAGAAGAUGAUUUCAGGUGGUCCCCAAAUAAACAUUGUUAUAGUAAUAUUUAAUGUUUACUUUUAUGUAAAUUUUUUAAAGUAUAUCAAGCCCAU
rnacentral:lncRNA from 1 species